rnacentral:rRNA from 1 species
UACGAAGGGGGCUAGCGUUGUUCGGAAUCACUGGGCGUAAAGGGCGCGUAGGCGGCUUUAUAAGUCGGGGGUGAAAGCCUGUGGCUCAACCACAGAAUUGCCUUCGAUACUGUAGGGCUUGAGACCGGAAGAGGUAAGUGGAACUGCGAGUGUAGAGGUGAAAUUCGUAGAUAUUCGCAAGAACACCAGUGGCGAAGGCGGCUUACUGGUCCGGUUCUGACGCUGAGGCGCGAAAGCGUGGGGAGCAAACAGG